GACGAACGCUGGCGGCGUGCUUAACACAUGCAAGUCGAACGGAAAGGCCCUGCUUUUGUGGGGUGCUCGAGUGGCGAACGGGUGAGUAACACGUGAGUAACCUGCCCUUGACUUUGGGAUAACUUCAGGAAACUGGGGCUAAUACCGGAUAGGAGCUCCUGCUGCAUGGUGGGGGGUGGAAAGUUUCGGCGGUUGGGGUUGGACUCGCGGCUUAUCAGCUUGUUGGUGGGGUAGUGGCUUACCAAGGCUUUGACGGGUAGCCGGCCUGAGAGGGUGACCGGCCACAUUGGGACUGAGAUACGGCCCAGACUCCUACGGGAGGCAGCAGUGGGGAAUAUUGCACAAUGGGCGGAAGCCUGAUGCAGCAACGCCGCGUGCGGGAUGACGGCCUUCGGGUUGUAAACCGCUUUCGCCUGUGACGAAGCGUGAGUGACGGUAAUGGGUAAAGAAGCACCGGCUAACUACGUG
rnacentral:rRNA from 1 species